rnacentral:rRNA from 1 species
GUGGGGAAUAUUGGACAAUGGGCGCAAGCCUGAUCCAGCCAUGCCGCGUGAGUGAUGAAGGCCUUAGGGUUGUAAAGCUCUUUCAGUAGGGAAGAUAAUGACGGUACCUACAGAAGAAGCCCCGGCUAACUUCGUGCCAGCAGCCGCGGUAAUACGAAGGGGGCUAGCGUUGUUCGGAUUUACUGGGCGUAAAGCGCACGUAGGUGGAUUGGUCAGUUAGAGGUGAAAUCCCGAAGCUCAACUUCGGAACUGCCUUUAAUACUGCCAGUCUCGAGUCCGGAAGAGGUGAGUGGAACUCCUAGUGUAGAGGUGGAAUUCGUAGAUAUUAGGAAGAACACCAGUGGCGAAGGCGGCUCACUGGUCCGGUACUGACGCUGAGGUGCGAAAGCGUGGGGAGCAAACAGGAUUAGAUACCCGGGUAGUCC